rnacentral:rRNA from 1 species
GACAGAGGCCUCGAGCGUUAGGCGGAAUCACUGGGCUUAAAGCGUGUGUAGGCGGAUCGUUAAGUGCCUUGUGAAAUCCCACGGCUUAACUGUGGAACGGCUGGGCAUACUGGCGGUCUUGAGCCAUCUAGGGGCGACUGGAACAAACGGUGGAGCGGUGAAAUGCGUAGAUAUCGUUUGGAACGCCAAAGGUGAAAACAGGCCGCUGGGGAUGUGCUGACGCUGAGACACGAAAGCCAGGGGAGCAAACGGG